rnacentral:misc_RNA from 1 species
UGGUUCAACAAUGGCACGAAG